GAAGUAGGUUUGUUAUGGUGAAUCUUCCCACAUUUGUUUGUCCAACAUUGUCUUUAAUUUGCUCUUACUCUUGAAGGAUAUCUUUGCUUGUUGCAGAAUUAACAGGUGGCAGUUUUUCCUUCCAGUACAUUUGAAUGCAUCAUUCUCCUGUUUUCUGGCUUCUCUUUUAUUGAGGAUUUAGCUCUCAGUCUAGCCAUGGCUCCUUUGAAGAUAAUUUGUCUUUUUUAUUGGCCUUUUUAAAUGAUGUAUCUGUUUGGUUUUGGUUUUCUUCACUGUCUCUGAGUCAAGAUGUAGAUUCCCCACCCCCCGCCCCAUCUAUCUAGCUUGGGUUUUGUUGGGCUUCUUGAAUCUAUAUAUUGUUUGUUUGUUUUUCAACAUUGCAUAAAAUUCUCAGCUAUUAUUUUUUAGAUAUUGACUGUGACCCGCUUCCUUCUCUCAAGGUUCCCGUGAUGUCAGAUCUCUGUCCUCUUUAUACUUCAUUUGUAUACCCAAGAAAUUUCUAAAUUUAGUAACUGUAUCUUUCAUUGCUAGGUACUCUAUCUGGAUCUUUUGAAAUCUAUAUGACUUCCUCCCCCUACAACAUUUUGUUCUUAAAAAUUUCCAAAUCUAAAGAAAACGCAAAGUAAUAGUACCCAAAUAGCCUUGACUUAGAGUCAUCAGGGUUUUGUUUUUUGUUUUGUUUUUUUUUUUUGGUUUUUUUAGGGCCACACCCAUGGCAUAUGGAGGUUCCCAGGCUAGGGGUCUAAUCUGAGCUGAAGCUGCCAGUCUACACCACAGCCAUGCCAGAUCCAAGCCCCAUCUGCAACCUACACCACAGCUCACGGCAAUGCUGGAUCCUUAACCCACUGAGCAAGGCCGUGGAUUGAACCCGCAACCUCAUGGUUCCUCGUCAGAUUCAUUUCCGCUGCGCCAUGACAGGAACUCUGAGCCAUCAGUUGUUCAUGUUCUGCCACAUUUGCUUUUGCUUCAUCUUUCUCUCUCCUUUUUUCUUGAACUUGAGACUCAGUUCAAGAAAACCCGCUUUACUUGAGAGCACAUUUGUAAGUUACAGAAGGGAAAUAUCAUGAUGACACUGCUCCUUUAGUAUAUUUACAUAUUUCCUAAGAACAUUCUUUCACAUAAUCGUGAUACUGUUAUUACAGUCCAUAAACUGAAAAUUGGUAAAGUAUUUUCUAAUAGAUUCCGUAUUCAUAUUUCCCCCAAUUUUCAAUAAUGUCUCUUGUUGUCUGUGUGUGAGUCAAGGCUGGAUCCUUAUUAACCCACUGAGCAAGGCCAGGGAUUGAACCUGUGUCCUCAUGGAUACUAGUCAGGUUCAUUAUUGCUGAGCCACACUGGGAACUCCAGGACAUUAACAUUUUUGAAGAGUCCAUUUGUUUUACAAAACUGCUGUAUAAUUUUUUGGUUAUAGAUUUCUGUGUCCUGAAGAGAUCAUCAAGCUUGUCAGUUAGUACUCUAAACACAGCAGUUGUAGUUGUAUUAUAGUCUGUAUCCAUUAAGUCCCCUAUAUGAAAUCUUUGAUGAUCUUUCUGCUGUUAAUUUUGCUCAUUGGGUCUUGUUUUCUUGUUUUCCAGUUUUUGUUCCUUAUUGUUUUUGAAAUAUUAUUUGUAGGGAUUUUUUUUUUUUUUUCUUUUGAGGGAUGCACCUGCAGUGUAUGGAGAUUCCUGAGUUAGGGGUUGAAUUGGAGCUGCAGCUGCCAGCCUACACCACAGCCACAGCAACAGUGACUUACACUGCACUGCAGCUUGCGGCAAUGCCAGAUCAUUAAUCCACUGAGUGAGGCCAGGGAUCAAACCCACUUCCUCAUGGAUACUGGUUGGGUUCUUAACCUGCGGAGCCACAAUGGGAACUCCUGGGAUUUUUAUCUUUUGAGAUCUGGUAGAUGGUGCCUUCCUCCACAGGAGAUUUAUAUUCACUUCUGACCAGUCCCAGUCUGGGACUACCCUAAAUCUAGCUCAUGGCUUGAAAUUGGGUGGACAGUUUAAAUGGCUGGGAUCUGGGCUGCAAAUGUGAGUCAGGAGUGACCCUACUUUUUGUGGUAUUUUUUUCCCUUUUUCUUUUCUUUCUCUCAUUAGCACCAUGACAAAUUUUACAUUGGCAUUCUGGCGUUGGUGAUGGAAUAGCCAGCUUUAAUUAUGGGCCCCAGCCUAAGGUGAAAAAGAUCUCUCAUUAUACUUCCCAUCUUGAGUGAACUCUAAUCAUUGAUUUCUGUCUCAUUGCCCAGCCAGGCCAACAAAACGAAAGCCCAGAUUUUUCUGGACUAACAAAUGCCCAAGGGCAAACUAAAACUGUAAGUUCUAGUGCUUUGCUGUUGCCUCUGGUGUUUGAUUUCCUUUGGAUUUUAGUCUGGUAAUUACUUACUAUCUUGAUAGCUCUUUAAUACUUUUCUUUCUCUCUCUGUUGUUGUUAUUUUAUUUUAUUUUUUUGGCUACACCUAUGGCAUGCAGAAGUUCCCAGGCCAGGGAUCGAACCUGUGCUGCAGCAGUGACCUGAGCCACUGCAGUAGUGACCUGAGCCACUGCAGUGACAAUGCCGGAUCCUUCACCUGCUGUGCCGCAAGGCAACUCUGAAAGCUCUCUAAUGCUUUCAAGGAGUUUAAACCUUUUUUUUCCACCUGGAAUUUUUAGUUGUGUCCACGUGAAUUGUUGGUUCAACUGUUAGCUACCAUUACUGGA
rnacentral:lncRNA from 1 species